rnacentral:rRNA from 1 species
UACGAAGGGUGCAAGCGUUACUCGGAAUUAUUGGGCGUAAAGAGCUCGUAGGCGGUUUGUCGCGUCUGCCGUGAAAGUCCGGGGCUCAACUCCGGAUCUGCGGUGGGUACGGGCAGACUAGAGUGAUGUAGGGGAGACUGGAAUUCCUGGUGUAGCGGUGAAAUGCGCAGAUAUCAGGAGGAACACCGAUGGCGAAGGCAGGUCUCUGGGCAUUAACUGACGCUGAGGAGCGAAAGCAUGGGGAGCGAACAGG